AGAGUUUGAUCAUGGCUCAGAGCGAACGUUAGCGGUGUGGAUUAGGCAUGCAAGUCGUGCGCGAAAACCCGCAAGGGUGAGUAAAGCGGCGAACGGGUGAGUAACACGUAAUCAACCAGCCCCGAGAUCGGGAAUAACCACUGGAAACGGUGGCUAAUGCUGGAUGGCCCUGCGACGAGCAUCUCGAUGCAGGUAAACGGUGGCGCAAAGCUGCUGUUCGGGGACGGGAUUGCGGCCUAUCAGCUAGUUGGCGGGGUAAUGGCCCACCAAGGCGAUGACGGGUAGCCGAUCUGAGAGGACGACCGGCCACACUGGGACUGAGACACUGCCCAGACUCCUACGGGAGGCUGCGGUCGAGGAUCUUCCGCAAUGGGCGAAAGCCUGACGGAGCGACACCGCGUGCAGGAUGAAGGCCUUCGGGUUGUAAACUGCUGUCACGCUAUGGGAACAGCUGGUCGUGAAUAGCGGCCAGCCUGACCAUACUGCGAGAGGAAGCACCGGCUAACUCUGUGCCAGCAGCCGCGGUAAGACAGAGGGUGCAAACGUUGCUCGGAAUCACUGGGCAUAAAGCGCACGUAGGCCGUUCGCUAAGUCCGAUGUGAAAUCCCCCGGCUCAACCGGGAACUGCAUCAGAUACUGGCGAACUCGAGAAUUGUAGGGGUGGACGGAACUCCAGGUGGAGCGGUGAAAUGCGUAGAUAUCUGGAGGAACACCGGAGGCGAAAGCGGUCCACUGGGCAAUUUCUGACGCUGAGGUGCGAAAGCUAGGGUAGCAAACGGGAUUAGAUACCCCGGUAGUCCUAGCCGUAAACGAUGGGCACUAGGCAAGGGAGGCACCUAUGUCCUUCUUUGCCGUAGCUAAUGUAUUAAGUGCCCCGCCUGGGGAGUACGCUCGCAAGGGUAAAACUCAAAGGAAUUGGCGGGGGCUCACCCAAGCGGUUGAGCAUGUGGUUCAAUUCGAAGCUAACGGCUGACCCUUAACUGGGCUUGACUUGCCUGUACCUCGGCUCAGGAACGGAAAUGUGGUUAGUCGGUAACGAACAGGUGCUGCAUGGCUGUCGUCAGCUCGUGUCGUGAGAUGUUGGGUUAAGUCCCGCAACGAGCGCAACCCUUGUCCGUAGUUGCCAUCAGUU
rnacentral:rRNA from 1 species